rnacentral:rRNA from 1 species
UCCGGUGGCUAUGGCAGAGAGGCCACACCCGAUCCCAUCCCGAACUCGGAAGUUAAGCUCUCUAGCGCCGAUGGUACUGCAGGGGCAACUCUGUGGGAGAGUAGGUCGCCGCCGGAU